UACGAAGGGGGCUAGCGUUGCUCGGAAUUACUGGGCGUAAAGCGCACGUAGGCGGCUUGUUAAGUCAGGGGUGAAAUCCCGGAGCUCAACUCCGGGCCUGCAGUCGAUACGGGCAGACUGGAGUUCGGCAGGGGAGACUGGAAUUCCUGGUGUAGCGGUGAAAUGCGCAGAUAUCAGGAGGAACACCGGUGGCGAAGGCGGGUCUCUGGGCCGAUACUGACGCUGAGGAGCGAAAGCGUGGGGAGCGAACCGG
rnacentral:rRNA from 1 species